AAAAGCGCAUGUGUUGUGAGCUCGAUGAGUAGGGCGGGACACGUGGUAUCCUGUCUGAAUAUGGGGGGACCAUCCUCCAAGGCUAAAUACUCCUGACUGACCGAUAGUGAACCAGUACCGUGAGGGAAAGGCGAAAAGAACCCCGGCGAGGGGAGUGAAAAAGAACCUGAAACCGUGUACGUACAAGCAGUGGGAGCACCCUUUUGGGUGUGACUGCGUACCUUUUGUAUAAUGGGUCAGCGACUUAUAUUCUGUAGCAAGGUUAACCGAAUAGGGGAGCCGGAGGGAAACCGAGUCUUAAUUGGGCGUUAAGUUGCAGGGUAUAGACCCGAAACCCGGUGAUCUAGCCAUGGGCAGGUUGAAGGUUGGGUAACACUAACUGGAGGACCGAACCGACUAAUGUUGAAAAAUUAGCGGAUGACCUGUGGCUGGGGGUGAAAGGCCAAUCAAACCGGGAGAUAGCUGGUUCUCCCCGAAAGCUAUUUAGGUAGCGCCUCGUGAAUUCAUCUCCGGGGGUAGAGCACUGUUUCGGCUAGGGGGCCAUCCCGGCUUACCAACCCGAUGCAAACUGCGAAUACCGGAGAAUGUUAUCACGGGAGACACACGGCGGGUGCUAACGUCCGUCGUGAAGAGGGAAACAACCCAGACCGCCAGCUAAGGUCCCAAAGUCAUGGUUAAGUGGGAAACGAUGUGGGAAGGCCCAGACAGCCAGGAUGUUGGCUUAGAAGCAGCCAUCAUUUAAAGAAAGCGUAAUAGCUCACUGGUCGAGUCGGCCUGCGCGGAAGAUGUAACGGGGCUAAACCAUGCACCGAAGCUGCGGCAGCGAACGUAUCACCCAAGACAACUUUACGGAGUUGACGAUUGACGGAGCGAAGCGACGUCAAAGCGUUCAUUAAAGUCGAGUUGGCUUAGGGAUACGUUCGUUGGGUAGGGGAGCGUUCUGUAAGCCUGUGAAGGUGGCCUGUGAGGGUUGCUGGAGGUAUCAGAAGUGCGAAUGCUGACAUAAGUAACGAUAAAGCGGGUGAAAAGCCCGCUCGCCGGAAGACCAAGGGUUCCUGUCCAACGUUAAUCGGGGCAGGGUGAGUCGACCCCUAAGGCGAGGCCGAAAGGCGUAGUCGAUGGGAAACGGGUUAAUAUUCCCGUACUUGGUGUUACUGCGAAGGGGGGACGGAGAAGGCUAUGUUGGCCGGGCGACGGUUGUCCCGGUUUAAGCGUGUAGGUGUGUGUUCCAGGUAAAUCCGGUUCACUUUAACACUGAGGCGUGACGACGAGGCACUACGGUGCUGAAGCAACAAAUGCCCUGCUUCCAGGAAAAGCCUCUAAGCAUCAGGUAACAUCAAAUCGUACCCCAAACCGACACAGGUGGUCAGGUAGAGAAUACCAAGGCGCUUGAGAGAACUCGGGUGAAGGAACUAGGCAAAAUGGUGCCGUAACUUCGGGAGAAGGCACGCUGACACGUAGGUGAAGUGAUUUACUCAUGGAGCUGAAGUCAGUCGAAGAUACCAGCUGGCUGCAACUGUUUAUUAAAAACACAGCACUGUGCAAACACGAAAGUGGACGUAUACGGUGUGACGCCUGCCCGGUGCCGGAAGGUUAAUUGAUGGGGUCAGCGCAAGCGAAGCUCCUGAUCGAAGCCCCGGUAAACGGCGGCCGUAACUAUAACGGUCCUAAGGUAGCGAAAUUCCUUGUCGGGUAAGUUCCGACCUGCACGAAUGGCGUAAUGAUGGCCAGGCUGUCUCCACCCGAGACUCAGUGAAAUUGAACUCGCUGUGAAGAUGCAGUGUACCCGCGGCAAGACGGAAAGACCCCGUGAACCUUUACUAUAGCUUGACACUGAACAUUGAGCCUUGAUGUGUAG
rnacentral:rRNA from 1 species